UGAGGAAUCUUCCGCAAUGGGCGAAAGCCUGACGGAGCGACACCGCGUGAGGGAUGACAGCCUUUUGGUUGUAAACCUCUUUUCUGAGUGAAAAAGUUCUGAUGGUACCUCAGGAAUAAGUAGCGACAAACUACGUGCCAGCAGUCGCGGUAAUACGUAGGCUACAAGCGUUAUCCGGAAUUAUUGGGCGUAAAGCGUCCGCAGUCGGUUUGAUAAGUUUGGCGUUAAAGCCCGGGGCCCAACCCCGGAUUCGUGUCGAAAACUGUUAGACUAGAGUGAUGCAGAGGUAAGUGGAAUUCCCGGUGUAGGGGUAAAAUCCGUAGAUAUCGGGAGGAACACCAAAAGCGAAGGCAGCUUACUGGGCAUCUACUGACGAUCAGGGACGAAAGCGUGGGGAUCAAAAAGG
rnacentral:rRNA from 1 species